rnacentral:rRNA from 1 species
CAUGCAAGUCGAGGGGUAACAGAGGUAGCUUGCUACUUGCUGACGACCGGCGCACGGGUGCGUAACGCGUAUAGAAUCUACCUUAUACUGGGGGAUAGCCUUUGGAAACGAAGAUUAAUACCCCAUAGUAUGUUUGAAUGGCAUCAUUUGGACAUUAAAGUUUCGGCGGUAUAAGAUGACUAUGCGUUCUAUUAGUUUGUUGGUAAGGUAACGGCUUACCAAGACUACGAUAGAUAGGGGUCCUGAGAGGGAGAUCCCCCACACUGGUACUGAGACACGGACCAGACUCCUACGGGAGGCAGCAGUGAGGAAUAUUGGACAAUGGAGGCAACUCUGAUCCAGCCAUGCCGCGUGUAGGAAGACUGCCCUAUGGGUUGUAAACUACUUUUAUAUGGGAAGAAUAAGGUCUACGUGUAGACUGAUGACGGUACCAUAAGAAUAAGCACCGGCUAACUCCGUGCCAGCAGCCGCGGUAAUACGGAGGGUGCAAGCGUUAUCCGGAAUCAUUGGGUUUAAAGGGUCCGUAGGCGGGCAUAUAAGUCAGUGGUGAAAGUCUGUGGCUCAACCAUAGAAUUGCCAUUGAUACUGUAUGUCUUGAAUUAUUGUGAAGUGGUUAGAAUAUGUAGUGUAGCGGUGAAAUGCUUAGAGAUUACAUAGAAUACCGAUUGCGAAGGCAGAUCACUAACAAUAUAUUGACGCUGAUGGACGAAAGCGUAGGUAGCGAACAGGAUUAGAUACCCUGGUAGUCUACGCCGUAAACGAUGGAUACUAGUUGUUUGGUUUUCGGACUGAGUGACUAAGCGAAAGUGAUAAGUAUC